UACGGGGGGGGCAAGCGUUGUUCGGAAUUACUGGGCGUAAAGGGCUCGUAGGCGGCCAUCUAAGUCAGACGUGAAAUCCCUCGGCUUAACCGGGGAACUGCGUCUGAUACUGGAUGGCUUGAGUUUGGGAGAGGGAUGCGGAAUUCCAGGUGUAGCGGUGAAAUGCGUAGAUAUCUGGAGGAACACCGGUGGCGAAGGCGGCAUCCUGGACCAAUACUGACGCUGAGUGAGCGAAAGCCAGGGGAGCAAACGGG
rnacentral:rRNA from 1 species